rnacentral:lncRNA from 1 species
AUGGAAUCCAUCAUCAAGAACCCACUUUCACGGCCCUCCCAGCCCCGCUUUGCUCCCUCUUAUUUCCUCCCUUUCCCGUGCCGCUCCUUGGGCACCCAGGAACAAUUUGGCAAAGAGGACUCAGGGCGGGCAAAACUGGUAGUGGAGACUCUGGAGCAGGACCUAGCCAGCUCAGGAACAUUCAUUUGCAGGGUACUGCCACCUCCUCUCCUCCCCAGAGCCCUGCAACAAUUGGCAUUUUCCUAUUGGGUCACUGGUGCCAGUCAGACAGCCUGGCAGAAAGAAGUCGAAGUCCCUUCCAUUUUAAUUUCUCUCAUCCUCAUGCUCAGACGCUUUCUGGAGUCGGAGGCCACGUCACCUGGCACCUGGGCCUCAGUUCAGGAGGAGAAAAGACCUCCCUCCCUCCUCCCUUCCUGUCCUACCUGGCUGGCAGUGAAGCCUGGAGAAAGCCUCUGCUUGGGGAUGGGCUCCUGUUACCUAAUGGGAGAAGCAUUGGCAGAAACUCAGCAGGCUCCAGAACACGGGAGAUCCCUGGGGAGUCGAGGCCUGGCUGCCAGCUGGGGAAACCGAGGCCCAGAGAUGGGGAGUGACGCACUUGAGGGUGUAAGUCCUGUGACACUGAGAUCAGUGCAGGAUGGCUGAGCCCCAGGACAGAGCUGUGCAGCAAGAAGGGCUGUGGGCAGUCGAGGAAAGACCACUGGACUGGACAUCUCUGGCCCUGGGUCCGUGCCCAGAUGGUGGACGCUCGCCAUCUGUCCUCAGGCCUCAGCAAGGUGAUGGAGUGGCAGCUGUCUCCGAAAGGCUGUUGGGCUGGAGAAGGCUCAGAGGAGGGGGGCCGGGGCAGGGGAGGCUCCCUGAGAGGCACAGGAAGGGACCUCUGCCAGAGAGCAAUGGGGAGCCAUGGGAGGUUCUGAAACAGCAUGAUGGACCUGGGUCUUAGAAAGACGAAUCUGUUGAAGGGGAGGAGUAGAUGGGAGGCGAGGGAGCAGCUAGGAAGGAGGCUCUUUCACUGGGCAAGCUUUCUGGGCCUAGAGACAGAGAGGAGGGGGAGCCUCGAGCCUCCAGGAGGCAGUGCAGGGUAGGAGGUGGAGGGGAAGGAGCAAAGGUGAGCAUGGCCAAGGCCCUGCCUGGGAGCCCAGAGUCCUGCAUUCUGGGGAUGGUGCCGCUGCCUCAUUGCAGGCAUUAAGCAGGUCCAGACCCUCCAGGGACAUCAGUUUUCCCAUCCAUAAAGCGGAAGGAUCAGAGGAAAGCCUCCGAGGCCCCCCUUGACCCCUGGGCCUUCUCGUUCUGUGAUCCUCUCACCCCAAGGAGCCAGGCCCAGUCUGGACCUCUGAUGGCUGAGACGGAGCUCUCUGGAGUGGGAAGGGGGCACUGGGCUGGGCCGCACAAAGUCCCCUCUGCCCCCUCACCCCAGAGCUGCCCGAGGGGCCUCUCCUCCUGGCCAGCAGCUGCUGGGGGUCCCUUUGUGGCAUGCUGUCUCCCCCCCCCCCCCCCCCCGUGUGCCCCAGGCUGGAGACCCAAGAGGAAGGGCGGCAGACAGAGCUGGGGACGGGACCAGAGGAACACGGGCAUGUGGGGAUGGAGAAGGAGCCUGGAGUAGGGAUGGCGGGAAGGCCUGGGCAGGAGUCUGGGGAGGACAGGGAAGGGGGAGCUGAGAUCCUGAGAGACCCUUUGCUAGCCUGCCCGAGCGAAAGAGAACAAGCCUCAUUCCCUCCUUAAGAGGCGCCAGGCUGGCCAAUUGCCAGAGAACGCCAAAGCCACGCAGGGCCUGGCAGGCUGUCCUUGCUGCUGAGAGGCUGACCUGAUCGUGAGCGAGCAGAAGGAUACUGAUUGGAACUAGAGAUGGGCGCCGGUGAAUGGAUGUCGGCCCGAAAGCUCCGCUCUCCUGCUAGGUGACAGCCAGUCCAGCAGGCGAGCUGGCGACAGAGGAAAGCAUUGGCAUGGGCACGACUUUGGCCACCUGGAGCACAGAUGAACUAGGAUCUAGACCUGAGAGCCCGCCAUUGGGCUUCACUGCAGGGUGGGGGAGCUUUAGAUAGAAAGCCCAGGGAAUUACAGUGGUCGGAGGGUUUGACCGAGACUUGCAAGAGGAACAGGAGAGCUCCUGCGGCCCCCACCAUGCUCGUUCUGGAUUUGAAAGAUGGCGGUCAGGUUGCAGAUUCAUCUUUCGUCAAAGCCGUAAACACUGGCAGAAGCAGAUGCAAAGUGCCGGCGCCUCCAUGGCAUAGGCCUUGUCCCCCUUUGAAAUCCCGAUUCAUCUUCGUCCUAGUGCAGCUUUGCUAGAAGCGCCCUUCAUCUCCUCACAGCCUUCUGCAAUUCAUUUGACUUCAGCAUAGGCAGAGUCCUUUGGAGGAAGGAAUGUUUCCUUCUUUGCAUCUGUAUCCCAGGGGCUGGCAAAAGACACACUAUAUCCCUGUAGCUGAACAAAGGCUUGUUUCCAUGGCUAAAUGGAAGCUGCACACAAAAAAAGGAAGCACAGGAAUUUGAAGAAAUGGGGCAGAGGUGAGCUCAAAGGUGGCAGUGGCCCCCACACUCUUGGGGAGGUCUCAGGGCAUGGAGAAGUCAGGCCAGAAGCUAUGGGAAGGCCGUUUAGGAGGCCAGGAGACAAGCAAUGACCCUAAGCCCAAAAGUGAACGGUCUCUAGAAAACCCCGAGGAAUCCGCUACAAAGUGAAUAAUGGCAACAAUCUAGCAAAGUUGAAGAGUAUAAAAUCAACCCCCAAGUCAUCAGCCAGAAAAGUAACAGGAAAAGCUACAAAGAAAAACUCUUCAGAACAACUGCAGGAACUAUGAAAUACUGAGAAUGUUUACCAAACACUUUGCAGAAACCAAGACCGACCUAAUAACUGGAGAAAUAAUAGCUGCUCACAGGGAGGGUGAGCCAAUAAAACACACACACACACACA